rnacentral:rRNA from 1 species
GAUGAACGCUGGCGGCGUGCCUAAUACAUGCAAGUCGAGCGAACAGACGAGGAGCUUGCUCCUCUGACGUUAGCGGCGGACGUGUGAGUAACACGUGGAUAACCUACCUAUAAGACUGGGAUAACUUCGGGAAACCGGAUCUAAUACCGGAUAAUAUAUUGAACCGCAUGGUUCAAUAGUUAAAGACGGUUUUGCUGUCUCUUAUAGAUGGAUCCGCGCCGCAUUAGCUAGUUGGUAAGGUAACGGCUUACCAAGGCAACGAUGCGUAGCCGACCUGAGAGGGUGAUCGGCCAAACUGGAACUGAGACACGGUCCAGACGCCUACGGGAGGCAGCAGUAGGGAAUCUUCCGCAAUGGGCGAAAGCAUGACGGAGCAACGCCGCGUGAGUGAUGAAGGUCUUCGGAUCGUAAAACUCUGUUAUUAGGGAAGAAUAAAUGUGUAAGUAACUAUGCACGUCUUGACGGUACCUAAUCAGAAAGCCACGGCUAACUACGUG